rnacentral:tRNA from 6 species
UAGGCUUGUAGCUCAAUGGCAGAGCGUUGCGCUGAUAACGCAGAGAUAGAGGAUCAUUACCUUUCAGGCCGAU